rnacentral:lncRNA from 1 species
CCCAGCUAACAUCAGACCGCUGGAUCCUCAGCACGGUGGAAUGUGGCUACCGUCUUCAGUUUAUUUCGACCCCGCCUUCCCACCCUCCCUCCUUGUCCCUCUUCAGGGACCCCUCUCACGAGCAACUCCUCCUACAGGAAGUUUCAAAGCUCCUCGCGUUGGGAGCCAUAGAGGAGGUUCCAGAGGCCAUGAGAGGCAGAGGGUUCUAUUCCAGGUACUUCCUGAUUCCCAAGGCGAAAGGCGGCCUCCGCCCCAUCUUAGACCUGCGAGCUCCGAACAAGUAUAUCAGGAAGCUCAAGUUCCGCAUGGUAUGCCUGGGAAACAUCAUUCCUUCCCUCGAUCCCGGAGAUUGGUACGCUGCUCUCGACAUGAGGGACGCAUAUUUUCAUUUCGCGAUCUACCCACCGCACAGGAGGUUUCUUCGUUUCGUAGUGAACCGUCGUCACUACCAGUUUGCAGUUCUGCCCUUCGGCCUCUCCUCGGCCCCUCGAGUUUUUACCAAGUGUAUGGCAGUAGUAGCGGCCUACCUCCGUCGUCGUCACAUCCAUGUUUUUCCCUACCUCGACGACUGGCUGAUUCGAGGGUCUUCCGAGGCCAAGGUAGCCGGGCAUGUACAGUUCAUCAGAGAUCUGUUCUCUCGUCUCGGAUUGAUCAUCAAUCUCGAGAAAUCCAUCCUACUCCCAACACAGGAAAUAGAAUUCAUAGGAGCACUGCUGGACUCGAAUCGAGCAACAGCCAGCUUACCUCCUCAACGGUUCAGAGCGAUAGUUUCUCUCGUUCAGGGGUUCCAUGCCUUCCCCACUACCACUGCCCGUACCGUCCUCGGCCUCCUUGGUCACAUGGCUGCGUGCACCUUUGUCACGAAGCACGCGAGGCUACGCAUGCGCCCUCUACAACUCUGGCUCGCUUCAGUCUUUCGGCCACGAAGGGAUGCCCUGGACAUGGUAGUCACAAUACCGUCUCACGUGCUGGGCUCCCUCAACUGGUGGCUGGACCCCGCCCUAGUGUGCGCCGGUCGACCGUUUCAUCUGACUCAACCCUCGCUAUCCCUGACGACGGAUGCUUCCGCUCUGGGAUGGGGCGCGCACCUGGGCCAUCUGCAGACCCAAGGGCUUUGGUCCUUACCAGAGCUCCAACUCCACAUCAAUGUCCGGGAGCUAAGGGCGGUCCGCUUGGCAUGCCAGGCAUUUCGCGAGCAGCUACAGGGCCGUUGUGUUGCCAUUUUCACGGACAACACGACGGCCAUGUAUUAUAUAAACAAACAAGGAGGAACACGAUCUUCCCCCCUUUGCCAAGAGGCUCUGAAACUGUGGGAAUUUUGCAUAGCCCAGUCGAUCGACUUGAUAGCCUCUUUCCUCCCAGGGGUCCGGAAUACUCUAGCGGACCGACUGAGCAGAUCGUUCCUGACACACGAAUGGUCCAUCCGUCCGGACGUCCUGUUUUCUGUCUUCCGGAGGUGGGGCUUUCCCCAGAUAGACCUGUUCGCCUCCAAGGACAACAGGAAGUGUCAGAUGUUCUGCUCCCUACAGGGCCGCUCCCCGGGCUCCCUCUCGGACGCCUUUCUCAUUCCAUGGACGAAGGGCCUCCUGUAUGCGUUUCCCCCGUUCCCGUUAGUCCACAGGGUCCUGCUCAAACUGCGCAGGGACAAGGCCAGGAUGAUUCUGAUCGCUCCGGCAUGGCCGAGGCAGUAUUGGUACACCAUGCUGCUCGACCUGUCCCUGGCGCCUCCAAUAUCACUACCUCUCUACCCGGACCUUAUAACACAGGACUUCGGCAGGCUUCGUCACCCAGACCUCCCGUCCCUACACCUGACGGCGUGGCUCCUGUCUGGUUGAACGAGUCUGAGCGCCAGUGCUCCGCCGAGGUCCAACAAGUCCUUUUAGGUAGCAGGAAACCCUCUACGCGGGCCACUUAUCUCGCAAAGUGGAAGCGAUUCUCAUUCUGGUGUGCACGGAGUUCCAUGGUCCCUACUGCCGUUCCAGUCUCUGUAGUCCUGGACUACUUGCUCUAUCUCAAGGGCCAGGGCCUAGCCCUCUCUUCCAUUAGGGUCCAUCUAGCCGCAAUCUCCACCUUCCAUCCUGGAGAGUCCGGUACUUCCACCUUUUCACACCCCAUCGUUUCCAGGUUCCUUAAAGGAUUGGAGAGACUCUACCCUCCGGUUAAGCCUCCUUCCCCUACGUGGGAUCUGAACCUGGUACUCUCUAGACUCAUGGGGCCCCCUUUUGAGCCGUUAGCGACCUGCUCCUUACUAUAUCUGUCAUGGAAGACGUCCUUCCUGGUAGCUAUCACCUCUGCCAGACGAGUAUCCGAGCUCCGUGCGCUGGUCGUAGACCCACCUUACACCAUCUUUCACAAAGAUAAGGUGCAGCUACGACCACACCCAGCCUUCCUUCCGAAGGUCGUCUCACCAUUCCAUCUUAACCAAGAUAUUUUCCUGCCGGUCUUCUUUCCGAAGCCGCACACCUGCCGCCGGGACCAGCAGCUGCACACCUUAGAUGUCCGCCGGGCCCUGGCAUUCUACAUCAGCAGAACUAAAGCCUUCAGACGCUCGCCUCAGUUAUUCAUAGCAGUGGCAGAGCGUAUGAAAGGUCUCCCUGUAACUUCCCAGAGGAUUUCAUCAUGGGUAACCUCGUGUAUCCGGACGUGCUACGAAUUGGCUCACGUCCCGCUUGGUCGCAUCACCGCCCAUUCUACUCGGGCUCAGGCCUCUUCGGCUGCUUUCCUGGCCCAAGUCCCCAUCCAAGACAUAUGCCGGGCGGCUACCUGGUCGUCCGUGCACACUUUUACAUCGCACUAUGCGCUGGUUGACCAAUCUCGAGACGAUGCCGCCUUCGGUACAGCAGUCUUGCUUUCGGCAACGUCUCACUCCGACCCCACCGCCUAGGUAAGGCUUGGGAAUCACCUACUAGAAUGGAUAUGAGCAAGCACUCGAAGAAGAAAACAAGG